GAUGAACGCUGGCGGCGUGCUUAACACAUGCAAGUCGAACGGAAUUAACCUCUGUCAAAGCUUCGGCAGAGACCUGGUUAACUUAGUGGCGGACGGGUGAGUAACGCGUGGGUAACCUGCCAUACACAGGGGGAUAACACUUAGAAAUAGGUGCUAAUACCGCAUAACCCGCUAAGGUCGCAUGACCUGGACGGAAAAGAUUUAUCGGUACGAGAUGGACCCGCGUCUGAUUAGCUAGAUGGCGGGGUAACGGCCCACCAUGGCAACGAUGUCUAGGGGUUCUGAGAGGAAGGUCCCCCANACUGGAACUGAGACACGGUCCAGACUCCUACGGGAGGCAGCAGUGAGGAAUAUUGGUCAAUGGGCGGAGCCUGAACCAGCCAAGUAGCGUGAAGGAUGACUGCCCUACGGGUUGUAAACUUCUUUUGUUUGGGAAUUAAAAGACGCUACGUGUAGCGUUCUGCAUGUACCUUACGAAUAAGCAUCGGCUAAUUCCGU
rnacentral:rRNA from 1 species